CUGUCCCCUUCUUCUUCUGGCGUUAAAGUGUGCCGGUUAAAAUAAUUGGGAUAAUACAUAAUUUCAUAUAGUUGCAUUUUAUCUGUAAUUUUCAAUUUCUCUGCAAUGGGAUCAAGUAAAAAUGUGUUUUCUUUGAAAGGCUUUUUAAGAAUGAGUCGGGCAAGAAAGGAUGCUGGAGAGACCCUUGGUUCCAACGUGGACACUGCGAUUUCCCUGAUAAGUUCAAUAACGAGAGAGAUUCAAAGAAUUGAGAGAAAUAUGAUUGAAGGUAG